rnacentral:rRNA from 1 species
UUGCAGUUAAAAAGCUCGUAGUUGGAUUUCUGUUAGAGUGACUUCAACCGUCUGAUGAUUGGUGAAAGCGCUUUGACAUCCUUCGGUUAACCUUUACGGGAUUCACUUUCUGUGCUGGGGCUCCGAUAUUUUACCUUGAGAAAAUUAGAGUGUUUCAGGCAGGCUAUCGCCGGAAUACAUUAGCAUGGAAUAAUGGAAAAGGACUUCUACCUCGUCUGUUGGUCUGGGAGGCAGUAGUAAUGAUUAAUAGGGAUAGUUGGGGGCAU